rfam:Schistosoma mattheei strain Denwood, Zambia genome assembly, scaffold: SMTD_scaffold0005071
AUCCAGCUGACGAGUCCCAAAUAGGACGAAAUGCAAGUCAUGGAU